CCACCACCCCCCUCUGAAUCAAGCCUCUCCUGCCCUGCUGUGCUCAUGUUGGCACGGCUGAUACGGAGGCUCCUGUCAGCUAAGCAGACCAUUUCCAGUUCAGGAACAAGCCACACUGUGGUUUCCUACACUCUCGUCUCAAAUGACAGAGGUUGCUCACCUGUGAGGAGGCAGGUGGGCCUCCUCCUUCAUACAGCCCCAGGAGCUUUUGAAGACGACCUGCUGCUCAGUGAGAGAUGACGAAGCAAGUUGUUGCGAGGGUGGCAGUGCACGAACGCACGUCGCAGACAAACACCAACAGUCCCUGCGACAGGAAUUAUUACGUCGCAGUCUCACACACAGUAGCUGCUCUCCAGACCAACACUAUGAGUAAGUUUAGUGGAACCAGCAGCUCCUGCACCAUGACAUGACCAAGGCAGCAUGCUGUGGUCAGUUUUAUUGUUUUUCCCGCCUUUUGCACAUUAUUUUUGAGAACAUUUCGUUUCUUGGCAGAGGAAUUAACUUCCCACAAAUUAACCUCACAGACCUUUGGUGGGCACAUAACUAUGACCAACCAACCAUCAAACAUGUUUUGUAUAGACAGUUAAACCACAGGUGUUUUUUAUUUUACAGGAAAAAAAUACAAUGCGUUGAAGGUCAAUUGCAGGUUAAGGGAAAUGCUGCACUACACAUCUGGAUUUAUCCAUUAAAUGUAAAGGUGCCUCCAUAAAAAUAACAUGUUGAAGGGGAAUCUUUCACUCAUUUUACGUGUUAUAAAGCUUCAAUUCAAUUGUGAAGCACCUGGUCACUUAACCACAGAUUUCUCCACUUUGUCUCUCUUUCAUUUUGUUGACAUUGAGAAACAAGAAAACAACUUGUCUCUUAAGACAGAGAUGACAUUUGACUUCAGGAAGGCCCUCAUUAAUGGCUCCUGCAUGGAGCAAGUCAGGAGCACCAAGUUUCUUGUUGUGCACAUCGCUAAUGACCUCAGCUGAUCAUGCAACUGCACCUCCCUAACCAAGAAGGUACAACAGUGUCUCCACUGCCUCCGCCGUCUGCAGAGAGCCAGCCUCCCCAGGACAGCUGCAUCACUGUCUGACAUGCAAGCCGCAACAAGUUAGACCGCAAGUCCCUACAGAGGAUAGUGAAGUCAUCCGAGUCCAUCAUUGGGACCUCUCUCCCCUCCAGCGAUGAUAUUUAAACUAAAGGCUGCACAAACAGGGCCUCCAGAAUCAUAAAAGCCCCCCACCCCCACCCGUCCCAUGAACCCUUCACCCUGCUGCCGCCUGGAAAAAGAAUGAUGAAUACCCGGCUUUAAGAUAGGACAUUGCACCGUCCAUCGUGAAAACAGAAGAUCAUGUUUUGCUUGGAAAAGUCUAAAAUGAGAAAUGUGGACCUAAGAGUAAGUCUUUUUUUCCUCUGGAACACAUAAUCACUUACUGACUUGGUGAAACCAGACAUGACAAAUGAAGAAAGGAAAUGCUGUGAUGGAUGUAGAGCAGGGUGGAGAGGGACUGGGUGUGUAUAUGUGGUGGGAGGUGACUAGAAUUGAAGUAAAACUGACUGAAGUGUACCGAUUUAUUGCACAGCACCUUACUCAUUAGUCAAUUUAAAUCAAUUUAAACUAAUUUUAAUAGAAGAAAUGAUGGAAAAAAACUGCUGUUAGUGACUCACACUCUGAAGAAAAAUGAUGAUUGUGUUUAAUUUCUCAACGUGGACAAUACAUAAUGGUGAACUCCUCACCUCAACUUCCUCAUUCAUCAGCAAGCUGCAUGCUGUGUGCAGCGCCUGGAUGUUUUUUCUGAUUUGGGAUGCAGAAAAAAAUAAAAUGUUAUAGAUAAA